GAUGAACGCUGGCGGCGUGCCUAAUACAUGCAAGUCGAGCGAACGGGCGAGAAGCUUGCUUCUCUGACGUUAGCGGCGGACGGGUGAGUAACACGUGGAUAACCUACCUAUAAGACUGGGAUAACUUCGGGAAACCGGAGCUAAUACCGGAUGAUAUUUUGAACCGCAUGGUUCAAUAGUGAAAGACGGUCUUGCUGUCACUUAUAGAUGGAUCCGCGCUGCAUUAGCUAGUUGGUAAGGUAACGGCUUACCAAGGCAACGAUGCAUAGCCGACCUGAGAGGGUGAUCGGCCACACUGGAACUGAGACACGGUCCAGACUCCUACGGGAGGCAGCAGUAGGGAAUCUUCCGCAAUGGGCGAAAGCCUGACGGAGCAACGCCGCGUGAGUGAUGAAGGUCUUCGGAUCGUAAAACUCUGUUAUUAGGGAAGAACAUAUGUGUAAGUAACUGUGCACAUCUUGACGGUACCUAAUCAGAAAGCCACGGCUAACUACGUG
rnacentral:rRNA from 1 species